rnacentral:tRNA from 1 species
GCCUGGGUGACUUAGUUGGUUAAGUUUCUGACUUUGACUCAGGUCAUGAUCUGAUGGUUCGUGAGUUCGAACCCCAUGUAGGGCU